rnacentral:tRNA from 5 species
UGCCUCAUGGUGUAAUGGUAACACAGCAGAUUCUGAAUCUGUUAUUCAAGGUUCGAAUCCUUGUGAGGCAACCA